rnacentral:lncRNA from 1 species
AUUUUCUUUGCCCGUAAUUACUGAUUGCUGUUGCUGUCUUUUUUUUCUAACGUCUCUUGUAGUUGUGGCAUACUUCUCCUUGUCUUGGAAUACUGAAGGCUGCUCCAUUGAUUCUGUCAUCGCAUUUGGGAAACAGCAAAUUCUGAUCAUUGAGGAAAGGUAACAAUCAUUCCCUGACUUGUUCCUUCGGGUGAUAUGGUCACUUUUCAUCUGAAUGUCAAGAUGACAAAAUAUAUGAUUGAAUACGUCUUUCAGUAACUCUUAUUAGAAAAAUCCAGUUUGGUCACACAAGUGAUUUACAUUUUUCUGCUUGGGAAGUCUUUAAUGACUAAGAUGAAUGCCAGUAGUGGGUGUUGUACUUGGAGUUGGGAACCCUUCGGUACUACUGAAAGGAUACAGAUUACAGUGCCUGGAAAAGGUGGCAAGCUUUGAAAUAGCGUUUGCCAUCUCUAAAAAGGCAGCCUAGGAAGUUCCUGAUAGAGUUGAGACGGAGCAAUAAGUACAGAUUUUCCUGAGUGUCCCACAGACACGUAAGUCAUUUGGUUCAUAUGUGGGUGGUCUUUGACUUA